GCUCAUUGCCUCCUCGUCCCGAGUUAUCCGAGGACGUCCCACGCUCGAACUCUUCUUCCUCGCGCACACGGGAGAGGAGCUCCCAAUCCUUGCACACAAGGGGACCUUGGCGUCGUUCCUCCAACGCGCCUCCACGGAGUCAGCCACUGGCGAUCCCAACAGCCCCGACCCGUUCCAUGGCCUCCGUUGACCAAGCCUAAGCUCUCCAUUCGACCCCACCAUGGACAGUGCCUCUAGG
rnacentral:lncRNA from 1 species